GAAACCAACAGGCAGAAGAAAAGAGAAAGAAUUUAAGAUUCAGGGAAGAGCAUCAGUAUCUCAUUAGUAAAGAAGAAGCCUCCAUCAUGUUUCAAGUUCAUUGCAUCUUGUUAUGCCUACUACUCGCUGCAGCUGUUUUACCAACAUCAAAAGCAUCUACCACAACUGGAACAACCACUACAAUAUCAUCAACUGCCCCCUCAACAUCCACAACAACCACCAGCCUCUCAACAAAUGAAAUAACUACCACAGUAACACCAGGCAGCACUGCCCCAGUGGCUGGAACAACUAAUGCAAACACUGCAACAGCAGCAACAGAAACCACAACAAUUAUAACAAGCGUCUCUCCAACAACUGAAACAACCAGCACAACUCUAGACAUCACCUACUCAACCACCAACUCAUUUACCACAGUAACAUCAGUC